GGGGCAGUAGCUCAGCUGGUUAGAGCACACGCCUGAUAAGCGUGAGGUCGGGCGUUCAAGUCGCCCCUGCCCCA
rnacentral:tRNA from 1 species